GACGGAUGGGGCUAGCGUUGUUCGGAAUUACUGGGCGUAUAGGGCGCGUAGGCGGCCAUUUAAGUUAGACGUGAAAGCCCUGGGCUUAACCCAGGAAUUGCGUUUAAUACUGGAUGGCUAGAGUUUGGUAGAGGAAAGCGGAAUUCCUAGUGUAGAGGUGAAAUUCGUAGAUAUUAGGAAGAACACCAGAGGCGAAGGCGGCUUUCUGGACCAAUACUGACGCUGAGGCGCGAAAGCGUGGGGAGCAAACAGG
rnacentral:rRNA from 1 species